rnacentral:rRNA from 1 species
GACGAACGCUGGCGGCGUACUUAACACAUGCAAGUCGAACGAGACGAUUGAAAGCUUGCUUUUAAAAGUCGAGUGGCAAACGGGUGAGUAACGCGUAGACAACCUGCCUUUGAGAUGGGGACAACAGUUCGAAAGGACUGCUAAUACCGAAUGUUGUAUAUUUUCCACAUGGAAGAUAUAUUAAGGAUGGCCUCUAUUUAUAAGCUAUCGCUCAAAGAUGGGUCUGCGUCUGAUUAGCUGGUUGGUGGGGUAACGGCCUACCAAGGCGACGAUCAGUAGCCGGUCUGAGAGGAUGAACGGCCACAUUGGGACUGAGACACGGCCCAGACUCCUACGGGAGGCAGCAGUGGGGAAUCUUCCACAAUGGACGAAAGUCUGAUGGAGCAACGCCGCGUGAGUGAAGAAGGGUUUCGGCUCGUAAAGCUCUGUUGUCGGGGACGAAUGUGCAGUAUUUGAAUAAAGUACUGCAAUGACGGUACCUGACGAGGAAGCCACGGCUAACUAUGUGCCAGCCGCCGCCGUAAUAC